UAGGGUAUAGCUCAGUGGUAGAGCCCUUGCCUUGCAUGUGUGAGGCCCUGGGUUCAGGUCCCAGCACCAUUA
rnacentral:tRNA from 1 species